rnacentral:rRNA from 1 species
UACAGAGGGGGCAAGGCGUUGUUCGGAAUUACUGGGCGUAAAGGGCGCGUAGGCGGCCUUCUAAGUCGAACGUGAAAUCCCUGGGCUCAACCCAGGAACUGCGUCCGAUACUGAAAGGCUUGAAUCCGGGAGAGGGAUGCGGAAUUCCAGGUGUAGCGGUGAAAUGCGUAGAUAUCUGGAGGAACACCGGUGGCGAAGGCGGCAUCCUGGACCGGUAUUGACGCUGAGGCGCGAAAGCCAGGGGAGCAAACGGG